rnacentral:rRNA from 1 species
AACGAACGCUGGCGGCAUGCCUAACACAUGCAAGUCGAACGAGACCUUCGGGUCUAGUGGCGCACGGGUGCGUAACGCGUGGGAACCUGCCCUUAGGUUCGGAAUAACUCCCCGAAAGGGGUGCUAAUACCGGAUAAUGUCUUCGGACCAAAGAUUUAUCGCCUUUGGAUGGGCCCGCGUUGGAUUAGCUAGUUGGUAGGGUAAAAGCCUACCAAGGCGACGAUCCAUAGCUGGUCUGAGAGGAUGAUCAGCCACACUGGGACUGAGACACGGCCCAGACUCCUACGGGAGGCAGCAGUGGGGAAUAUUGGACGAUGGGCGAAAGCCUGAUCCAGCAAUGCCGCGUGAGUGAUGAAUGCCUUAGUGUUGUAAAGCUCUUUUACCCGGGAUGAUAAUGACAGUACCGGGAGAAUAAGCUCCGGCUAACUCCGUG